rnacentral:rRNA from 1 species
UAACAGGUCCAGCAAUGGAUGCUGACGAGUGGCGCACGGGUGCGUAACGCGUAUGCAAUCUACCUUUAACUGGUGAAUAGCCCGAAGAAAUUCGGAUUAAUACACCAUAGUAUAUUUGAACAGCAUUGUUUAAAUAUUAAAGUCCCAACGGUUAAAGAUGAGCAUGCGUGACAUUAGCUAGUUGGUGAGGUAAUGGCUCACCAAGGCAACGAUGUCUAGGGGAUCUGAGAGGAUUAACCCCCACACUGGUACUGAGACACGGACCAGACUCCUACGGGAGGCAGCAGUAAGGAAUAUUGGACAAUGGUCGCAAGACUGAUCCAGCCAUGCCGCGUGAAGGAUGACGGCCCUAUGGGUUGUAAACUUCUUUUGUAUGGGAAAAAACCUCUUUACGUGUAAAGAGCUGAUGGUACCAUAAGAAUAAGGAUCGGCUAACUCCGUGCCAGCAGCCGCGGUAAUACGGAGAAUCCAAGCGUUAUCCGGAUUCAUUGGGUUUAAAGGGUGCGUAGGCGGAAUGAUAAGUCAGUGGUGAAAUCCUGCAGCUUAACUGCAGAACUGCCAUUGAUACUGUCAAUCUUGAGUACAUUUGAUGUGGGCGGAAUGUGUCAUGUAGCGGUGAAAUGCUUAGAUAUGACACAGAACACCGAUUGCGAAGGCAGCUCACAAAACUGUAACUGACGCUGAGGCACGAAAGCGUGGGUAUCAAACAGGAUUAGAUACCCUGGUAGUCCACGCUGUAAACUAUGAUUACUCGAUGUUUGCGAUACACUGUAAGCGUCUAAGCGAAAGCGAUAAGUAAUCCACCUGGGGAGUACGCUCGCAAGAGUGAAACUC